GAUGAACGCUGGCGGCGUGCCUAAUACAUGCAAGUCGAGCGAACGGACGAGAAGCUUGCUUCUCUGAUGUUAGCGGCGGACGGGUGAGUAACACGUGGAUAACCUACCUAUAAGACUGGGAUAACUUCGGGAAACCGGAGCUAAUACCGGAUAAUAUUUUGAACCGCAUGGUUCAAAAGUGAAAGACGGUCUUGCUGUCACUUAUAGAUGGAUCCGCGCUGCAUUAGCUAGUUGGUAAGGUAACGGCUUACCAAGGCAACGAUGCAUAGCCGACCUGAGAGGGUGAUCGGCCACACGGGAACUUGGACACGCUCCAGACUCCUACGGGAGGCAGCAGUAGGGAAUCUUCCGCAAUGGGCGAGAGCCUGACGGAGCAACGCCGCGUGAGUGAUGAAGGUCUUCGGAUCGUAAAACUCUGUUAUUAGGGAAGAACAUAUGUGUAAGUAACUGUGCACAUCUUGACGGUACCUAAUCAGAAAGCCACGGCUAACUACGUG
rnacentral:rRNA from 1 species